GCUGGGCAUGGUGGCACAUGCCUGUAAUCCCAGCAGCUUGGGAGGCUGAGGCAGGAGGAUCGCAAGUUCAAAGCCAGCCUCUGCAAUUUAGCAAGGCCCUAAGCAACUCAGUGAGGCCCUGUCUCUA
rnacentral:sRNA from 1 species